GAUGAAGAACGCAGCGAAAUGCGAUAAGUAAUGUGAAUUGCAGAAUUCAGUGAAUCAUCGAAUCUUUGAACGCACAUUGCGCCCGCUAGUAUUCUGGCGGGCAUGCCUGUCCGAGCGUCAUUUCAACCCUCAAGCCCCCGGGCUUGGUGUUGGGGAUCGGCGAGCCUCCGCGCCCGCCGUCCCCUAAAUCUAGUGGCGGUCUCGCUGUAGCUUCCUCUGCGUAGUAGCACACCUCGCACUGGGAAACAGCGCGGCCACGUCGUUAAACCCCCAACUUCUGAACGUUUGACCUCGGAUCAGGUAGGAAUACCCGCUGAACUUAAGCAUAUCAAUAAGCGGAGGA
rnacentral:misc_RNA from 1 species